CCUUUUUUUUCCCGCUUUUUUCGGAUUCACUGGGCGUAAAGGGCGUGUAGGCGGCUUGGUAAGUCAGGGGUGAAAUCCCGCGGCUCAACCGCGGAGUUGCCUUUGAAACUGCCGAGCUUGAGGCCGUGAGAGGAGACUGGAAUUCCCAGUGUAGCGGUGAAAUGCAUAGAUAUUGGGAAGAACACCAGUGGCGAAGGCGAGUCUCUGGCACGGAUCUGA
rnacentral:rRNA from 1 species